rnacentral:rRNA from 1 species
UACGAAGGGGGCUAGCGUUGCUCGGAAUCACUGGGCGUAAAGCGCCCGUAGGCGGAUUGCUAAGUCAGGGGUGAAAUCCUGGAGCUCAACUCCAGAACUGCCCUUGAUACUGGCGGUCUCGAGUCCGGGAGAGGUGAGUGGAACUGCGAGUGUAGAGGUGAAAUUCGUAGAUAUUCGCAAGAACACCAGUGGCGAAGGCGGCUCACUGGCCCGGUACUGACGCUGAGGUGCGAAAGCGUGGGGAGCAAACAGG